UAAUCAGCUUCUUCAAUUCCUUCUUCUCUCAUUUCUUCAACCUCAUUAAUUCCUUCGUCACUAUUAAUCUAUAUUAUCAUUUUAUUCAUCCUUCUUCAAUUUCAUCUUCAACACCAAAUUCCUCUUUUAUCAAAAAAAAUCAUCAAACCCAUAUCUCACUACACAACAACAAAAACACCAAAAUCAUCUUCUAUCAACACAAACUCAUAAAUUCUAACAACACAAUAUCAUAAAUUCAUUCUUGUCACCGAACUUUAACAAGUUCCUGCCUGCGUGCAACAACACACAGAUCUGAAUUUUCGGUACAACAAAGAAGAGGGCGACGGAGCGGCUGUUGCAAGAGGACGAGGCGGUGGUUGCAGGAGGAGAAGGUGACGAAUCAGAGGCUUUUAUUUUCUUUUUCACUUUCCUCUCUGUGUAAAUUUGAAUUUUGAUUGCAAUUGUGUUUGUUUGUAACGAGAUGUGUUGGUGGUUUGAUGAUGAGAAAGGAUGUCUGUAAUACUGAUUAUGGGUUUGGUUGAAGUAGGCUUGUUCAAUUUUUAUGUAUUUUUUGUUUAAUUAAAAUUAAGCUUUUUAAUUUUGAUUUCAGAAAAUCAAUUUUCAAAAUAAAAAAUCAGUUUUUUAAUUAUAAAAUAAUAAAAAAGCCAAUUAAGAUGCCACAUGG
rnacentral:lncRNA from 1 species